rnacentral:rRNA from 1 species
UUAAAUUGAAGAGUUUGAUCAUGGCUCAGAUUGAACGCUGGCGGCAGGCCUAACACAUGCAAGUCGAACGGUAACAGGAAGCAGCUUGCUGUUUUGCUGACGAGUGGCG